GAUGAACGCUGGCGGCGUGCCUAAUACAUGCAAGUCGAGCGAACAGACGAGGAGCUUGCUCCUCUGACGUUAGCGGCGGACGGGUGAGUAACACGUGGAUAACCUACCUAUAAGACUGGGAUAACUUCGGGAAACCGGAGCUAAUACCGGAUAAUAUAUUGAACCGCAGGGUUCAAUAGUGAAAGACGGUUUUGCUGUCACUUAUAGAUGGAUCCGCGCCGCAUUAGCUAGUUGGUAAGGUAACGGCUUACCAAGGCAACGAUGCGUAGCCGACCUGAGAGGGUGAUCGGCCACACUGGAACUGAGACACGGUCCAGACUCCUACGGGAGGCAGCAGUAGGGAAUCUUCCGCAAAGGGCGAAAGCCUGACGGAGCAACGCCGCGUGAGUGAUGAAGGUCUUCGGAUCGUAAAACUCUGUUAUUAGGGAAGAACAAAUGUGUAAGUAACUAUGCACGUCUUGACGGUACCUAAUCAGAAAGCCACGGCUAACUACGUG
rnacentral:rRNA from 1 species